UACGUAGGGUGCAAGCGUUGUCCGGAAUUAUUGGGCGUAAAGAGCUCGUAGGCGGUCUGUUGCGUCGGCUGUGAAAACCCGGGGCUCAACUCCGGGCCUGCAGCCGAUACGGGCAGACUAGAGUUCGGCAGGGGAGACUGGAAUUCCUGGUGUAGCGGUGAAAUGCGCAGAUAUCAGGAGGAACACCGGUGGCGAAGGCGGCUUCCUGGACCGACACUGACGCUGAGGCGCGAAAGCUAGGGGAGCAAACGGG
rnacentral:rRNA from 1 species